rnacentral:lncRNA from 1 species
CUGAUACCACUGUUAGGUUUGUAAUAUUCAAGAACGCAAUCAAAUUGCAUAAAAUAAGCGGAAACGUGUAAAUCAGAGUUUUAAAAAUUUUACAAACCAUAUACCCGGAUCACCCUUUAUGCACAAUUAUAAAUUCAACGAAAAAGAAAGAACAAAAAUCAUACCCUUGAAGAUCCGAGCUUCCUCAGGUACAAGUUCAUCUCCAAUCCUUUUCGCGUUCAACUUGAAUCCACCGGAUUUGGUUCCAUCAUUUGAUCAACGUUAGCACCCAAGUGUUUGGCCUCUAGAGGUGAUCCACCAUGGAAGAAGAAGAAUUCAAGAAGAUGGGUAUUUGACAAAACCCUAAUUUUUCUAUCUCUCAUAGAAAGGGGUGUACUCUCUCAACUAUUGGAAUUACGUAUUCUAUGAAUACGUCAACAACAACCUCAC